CACUCGCUCUCGCUCACUCAACCCGCGCCCGGCUCGCUGCGCCGCCGCCGGUCCAUCCCCGUCCUCGGCCAACCACUGUCGCGGCCAGCCAUUGAGCGCGGCCACUGGCCCCUUGCGCCGCCCGUUCCCCGACACUGCCGCCUUUUCCCGGCGACGCCCCUUCCCGGCAGUUCCCCGGCAACCGCCACCGACCUCGACCCGGCUCCCCCGUGCGUGACGCCGCUCCUCCUCCUCUGCGCCGCAGUCCCUCCCCGGCGCCGCCGCACGCUCUGGCCACCUUCUUGACGCCACCACGCGCGUACACUAUUUUUUGAGGUCUUCAUAGCUGUUGCGGGUCUGACUGUACCGCGUCGCGUCGCCACAGUCCCGCUAGCUUGAUUCCACUGUCACCCUAGGUAUGACCACUAUUUUCGCAUCAUAGUCGUAGAUCACGUAACCCAGUUAAGUGUCCUCCCGUUCGAAAUAGAUACAAUGUAGAUAUAUAGAUCUUUGCAUAUCUAUAAAUGUUAUUUAUUUUGAAUUGUCUAUGUUUUUAGACAGCCCAUGGUUGUGUAGAUGAUAUUAGUUUCCAUGUGCACGCCGCGUGACCUAGACAUGUCCAAAUGGGCUGGCCUGGCAGUGGGCCCGUGACCUGGCACGGUCAUAGCCCGGCACGAGCACGACCCGACUAGAACCGUGCCCGGGCCGAUAGCCGUGCUGGGCUUGGGCUGGCUGUCUGGCCCGCGGUGCAGGCACGGAUCCGGCACGGUUAAUUGGUAGGCACGAUAACGUCCCGUUUUAGGAACUUAUUUUGUAACUGUCAGUCUGUUUUUAGCUAUAAUACUGAUGAUAUGUUAUUAUAUAAGAGUAUUCUGAAUUGUGAUAUGUGUUUAUGUGUAUAUGAAAUUGUUUGUCUAA